AAUUCUUCUAAGCGAAGAACCUUACCAAGGCUUGACCUGCUGCAAAUCCUCUUGAUAGAGAGGGGUGCCUUCGGGAACGUAGACACAAGUGGCACAUGGCUAUCGUCAACUCGUCUCGUAACGUGUUGGUUAAGCCCCACCAUGAGCAUAACCCUCGUGUUUAGUUGCCACCAUUGAGUUUGGAACCUUGAACAGACUGUCGGCGAUAAGCCGGAGGAAGGUGAGGAUGACGUCAAGUCAUCAUGCCCCUUAUGCCCUGAGUG
rnacentral:ncRNA from 1 species